AAUGUUCCACCAUUGCUAGUUUCCAAAUGUUAAAAUACUGAACUUUUCCUUUAAGAAACUCUUCUCUCCACUGCGGCUUCCUGGUGUUGUGAAGGUCCUCCGGAAAAGUUAAGAGUAAAAAAACAAUUUGUUGCACAGGAUCUAUUAUGAGACGACCGAGUAGAAUAUCAUCUUCAAAACGGAGAUGACAUAAAGUAAAUAUUUCAGAAAUGAAUCCACACGACAGAGCAGAGAGAGUGAAUGUAAGGGUUAUAUAGUAUAAGAGAGAGUAGUAUCGCCUGGACUGAGUAAGAACAUUGACUUAAUGGUAUGUGUUAAGUCUGACGUGGAUCAGUACAGACACUGUUAAAAGGAGGCUUACAGUGGUGAGACAAUGUUGGGGGCCAACUGGUUCCUACAGGGAGGAGGUGGAUCAGUGAAACACUUUGUACCUUGACUCUCCCUUCAGUUCACCAGACAGCAGAAUGAAGAGCAGAGCUUCACACAAAGGGGAGAAAUAAAUUAAUGAUCACUACUUCCAAGACAAACUGAAAUCCUACCUUAAGAAUAAGUACGGCUGUAUAUAUGAGGGGACGUCAAAGGAAGGUGAUUCCAUCUACCUAGACCAGAUCUACACUGAGCUCCAUGUGAUCGAGGGGGCCUGGGGAGGGGUCCGAGAUGAGCAUGAGGUCAUACAUCUGGAAUCCAGAACACCAGCCACAGGAGAGACCACUAUUGAAGCCAACAACAUUUUCAAGCCCCGACCUGAUCAAAAGAAGCCAAUCAGAACAGGGCUUACACUGGGCAUCGCUGGCGUGGGAAAGACUGUCUCCGUUCAGAAGUUUAUUCACGACUGGGCAGAAGGAAAGGAGUACCAAGACAUUGAUUUCAUCUUUCCACUUCCUUUUUGCCAAAUUAAUUCUAAUAUAGGGGAAAAGGACCACAGUCUGAUUGAACUGCUUCAUCAAUUCUUCACUGUCAUGGGACCGGUGAAGACCCUGGGGGUAGGUUCUAAAGUUCUGUUCAUCUUUGAUGGUCUGGACGAGAGUCGACUUCCUCUGAACUUCAACAGUAAGCUUCUGACAGACGACACAAAGCCAGCCUCGCUGGACCAACUGAUCACAAACCUCAUCACAGGAGAGCUCCUCCCCUCUCAUCUCAUCUGGAUAACCUCCCGACCUGCUGCAGCCAAUCAGAUCCCUCGUCAACACAUCCACCAGUGGACAGAGGUACAAGGGUUCAAUGACCCACAGAAGGAGGAGUACUUCAGGAAGAAAAUGAGUGAUGAGACCCUGGCCAGCAGAAUCAUCAACCAUGACAAGUCAUCAAGGAGCCUCCACAUCAUGUGCCACAUACCAGUGUUCUGUUGGAUUUUAGCCACUGUUCUAGAGAAGCUGUUGGAUCAAGCAGGGAGUGGAAAGUUGCCCAAAACCCUGACUGAGACGUACUUACACUUCCUGAUCUGUCAGACAGACAGGAUAAGAGCUAAAGGGAACUCCGUAGAAAGUGACAACAUAGUCCUCAAACUUGGAGAGCUGGCAUUUCAUCAGCUGGAGAAGGGAUAUCUUAUAUUCUAUGAGGAAGACCUGACAGAGUGUGGCAUUGGAGUCAGAAAAGCAUCCGUGCACUCAGGUUUGUGCACCGAGAUCUUUAAGGUGGAGGGAGGACCAGUCAGAAGAGUGUUCAGCUUUGUGCAUCUGAGCGUCCAGGAGUGUCUUGCUGCUGUUUAUGUGUUUCUCACAUUCAUAAACUGCAAUGAAAACCCACUGGUCCAAUAGAACUCCUUUUUGCGGAAAUUUCGGAAACACCAACCUAUGAUGGACUUAGUCAAGAGUGCAGUGGACAAGGCCCCAAAGAGUAAGAAUGGACACCUGGACCUGUUCCUCCGUUUCCUUUUGGGCCUCUCACUGGAGUCCAAUCAGACUCUCCUACAAGGCCUACUGACACAGACAGGAAGCAGCUCACAGACCAGUGAGGAAGUAGUUGAGUACAUCAAGAUGAAGAUCAGGAAGAAUCCCUCUCCAGAGAGAACCAUCAAUCUGUUCCACUGUCUGAGUGAGCUGAAUGACCAUUCUCUAGUGAAGGAGAUCCAAAGAUACCUGAGCUCAGGAAGUCUCUCAGCAGCCAAACUGUCACCUGCACUGUUUUGAGCUCUGGUGUUUGUGUUGCUGUCUUCAGAAGAAGAGCUGGAUGUGUUUGACCUGAAGAAAUACUUUAGAUCAGAGGAGGGUCUUUUGAGGAUGCUGCCAGUAGUCAAAGCCUCCAGAACAGCCCUGCUGAAUCAAUGUAACCUCUCAAACCGAUGCUGUUAAGCGCUGGGCACAGCUCUCAUCUCCUCACACUUGGAAGAGCUGGACCUGAGUGGCAACGACCUGCAGGAUUUAGGAGUGAAGCUACUCUCUGCUGGACUGCAAAGUCCACAAUGUAAACUGGUGACACUGAAGCUGUCAGGCUGUCAGGUCACAGAGGAAGGAUGUGCUGCCCUGGCUUCAGCUCUGAGGUCAAACCCCUCCCACCUGAGAGAGCUGGACCUGAGCUACAAUGACCCAGGAGACUCAGGAGUGAAGCUGCUCUUUGCUAUACGGGAGGAUCCACACUGUAAACUGGAGAAACUCAAUGUGGACCAUGGUAGAAGGUGCAGGUUAAAAUCAGGGCCCCAAAAAUGUUUUUUUUUGUUUAAUGCAUGGACGUGUGUUGGACCUGGGUUUAAAUACAUGUGUUCGAUUAUGUGUUAUUUAAAUGCUUAUUUUCUGUGUAUUUUCACAAAUAAUGUGGCCCUAAUCAACUACUUCUAUUGGAAGUACUUUAAAGUAUUUUUUUAAUUUUUUAUUCCAGGAUACAUUAUUUCAAAUACCAAACAGAGUAAAAUGCAUGGGAGUAUUUAAAUUUUUGUGUAAAUACUGUGCAUGUUCAAAUACAUACUUUCCAAGUGUUUUUUUCCCAAAUACAGUAUAUUUCAAACCUGGUCUCCCCAUUUAGAUGCCUGUGAUCUCACACUGGACCCAAACACAGCACACAGAACCCUCUCUCUGUCUGAGGAGAAAAGGAAGGUGGAAUGGACCUGGAAGGAGCAGCUGUAUUCUGAUCACCCAGAGAGAUUUGAGGACUAUGAACAGGUGCUGUGUAGAGAGGGUCUGACUGGGUGCUGUUACUGGGAGGUAGAGUUGAGUGGGAGGGCUUGUAUAGCAGUGACAUAUAAAGGAAUCAGCAGGAGAGGAAAGGGUCCUAACAGUCGGCUUGGAGCCAAUGACAAGUCCUGGAAUCUGAACAGCUUUUAUGACAGCUACUCUGCCAGGCACAAUUAUAAGAGAACUGACAUACCUGUCCCCUCGUCCCGCUCCAACUGAGCAGGAGUGUAUCUGGACUGGCCGGCCGGCACUCUGUCCUUCUACAGCGUCUCCUCUGACACACUGACCCACUUGCGCACAUUCCACUCUACAUUCACUGAGCCCGUCUACCCAGGGUUUUAUGUAAGGGGUGACACAGGGACUGUGACCCUGUGUCAGGUCAAAUAACCUCCUGUAUCCUGGAGUAACACCAGAGUCUUCAGAGAAGUCAUACUCCUGUUCAAUCACAUCUGGGUGACCUGAUGGGAUACGUUUCACUCUAAUCAUGACAUGGAUGAGUAAGUUAACAUGAAUAUACCGUACAUCUCUAAAGUUGACUGACCUUGUAACUAGAAUCACCCCACUGCUGUAAAAACCUCCCAUUUAAAAUCUCUAGUUGUUAUUGCUUUUCCUUAUUGUUUGUAAUAAAAUGUUUCUAGAAUGUUC